rnacentral:rRNA from 1 species
CGGGUGAGUAACACGUGGGCAACCUUUCCUAUCGCAGGGGAUAACACCGGGAAACCGAUGCUAAUACCGCAUGUCGUCACUGAUCGCAUGGUUGGUGAAGAAAGCAGCAAUGCACGAUGGGGUGGGCCCGCGGCCUAUCAGCUAGUCGGUGGGGUAACGGCCUACCGAGGCGAUGACGGGUAGCUGGUCUGAGAGGACGGCCAGCCACACGGGGACUGAGACACGGCCCCG